UGUGUGAAGUUUGCUCUUAGAUUUCUGUGGUGUUAGUACAUUGAAAUAGCCUGAGCGCUAAUCUAGGAUGUAUAAUAAAACGUCCUCUUGUUUAGUGCGACUCUGCUAAGUGUCAGUGCCAGGUUGAGAAUCCCAAACGAGUUGAAAAAGACCUCAAUCUGCUGGCUGGUUGAAUCACUAGUUUCGGCGUAAGCACUUUAAAAAGGACUGCUCUGGGAGAUUUCCUGGUAGGCUAAAGUGCAGCAGAAAAAAAGGACACGUAACAUUUAUUAAGCACUGUGGUUUUGUUCUCCAUCCAUACCCCAUUCACUGCCCUGGAGACAUAAAGAUGAAAAAACACCUGAUUCUUGAGUGGCACAACAAUCAAUAGAGGAGGAGACAUAAGAAGAAUUAGAUAUGGCACAGUGGAAGACUCCACAAUUCUUGAAGACAUGAGAAAGAAAAUUGCAAGGAAUCAAAGCAUGAAGAUCUUUGGACGGUCCCGUGUAGAAGUUACUUAGGCAAUUCAAAUAAAAUAUAAACACUAUGUAAUACAAA